UACGGAGGGUGCAAGCGUUAUCCGGAUUCACUGGGUUUAAAGGGUGCGUAGGAGGGCAGGUAAGUCAGUGGUGAAAUCCCCGAGCUUAACUUGGGAACUGCCGUUGAUACUAUCUGUCUUGAAUAUAGUGGAGGUGAGCGGAAUAUGUCAUGUAGCGGUGAAAUGCUUAGAUAUGACAUAGAACAUCGAUUGCGAAGGCAGCUCGCUACGCUAUUAUUGACACUGAGGCACGAAAGCGUGGGGAUCAAACAGG
rnacentral:rRNA from 1 species